UUGACCUCUAUGGUCUGAACUUCUGGAGUCUGGCACCAUCUGUGGUCCUGCAUCCCUGAGGGUUCUCACAGGGAAACGCCAGCCCCUUGCUCAACGAUUCCUACCUCACCCCUCCAGAGCUUCUGGAGCAUUGCAAGCUCGGGGGGGAGGAGAAAGGGAGGGGAAGAAGUGGGGACAGGGGAUGCACAGGGGAAGAGGCAGGAGACAAGAACUAUGGCAGCAGCACCAGGAAACACCUUCACUGCCCCGAGACAUCAGAACCAAUCUCAGCUCAAUUUCUGCAGGGGAAUGGAGUUCACAGCUGAAAGGAGGAAAAACAUAAGUCAAGUGUGCAGGAAAGAACUGGAGUUUGCAUAUAGAGAAACAAUCUACUGUCUCUGUUGUUACACUUUCAAAGAUACAGGGCAGAAGAAUGGACAUCCUGCACUUACCAGCCAGCGUUGUGGGGAAAUCCGAUGACAUAGGUAAUGUUUCACUGAGUGAGGAGGACACUAGAAAUAAAACAAAUAAGCUAAUA